CUCCGCGGGGACGCCCGCAAGCUUGGAGCCUGUCAGCCACCUCUGGUCCACGGCGGGGGAAUGAUCGGUCUCGCUGUCCUGCUGGCAAGUAUCCUCUCGUAAGUAAUUGCUACGUAGGCGCCUCGUUCCGCAGGUAGUUGCUAAGUAGUCGUCUUGCUUUAGUGUGAUGUUAGUGUGAAUUGUCCUAAAUAAACUAAGGGGUGGAUUUUGCUCUCAGUGCGUGUGCUUUCAAUUGCCGAGCCCCGAACCCAUCCAGAACACUGAGACAGGAGGAUUCCUGUCCGUUUGAGUCAUGCUCCAGGUGGCCACGCAGCCUCUCCUCUUGCAGACGUGGCACAUGGGCAGCAAGGAGAAGCUGUCACGUGCUGUGCUCUUUACUAGCCCUUUUUAUUCCCCAGCAGUUGCUUUUCCAGAUCAGAAAGUUUUCUAGAAGAAAGCCUAGGUAGACGUCCAUUGCUAUUGGAAGGCUGCAGCCUCAGGGACCUCUGAAGGAUGUGGGGAGCUGGCAGAUGGGGGUUGAAUGGAUUCACAGCAGGGAAAUCGGGGUCAUGUCGUGAGUAGAUCCCGAGAAACCCAGGAUCUAGAUCCCGGGGAAAGAGCUUUGAUGUGUUGUGGUCAUGCAGGGAGAUGACACCACUCUUCUCAGUCUGCAUUGUGGUUACAGUCAACUCUGGCAGAGUGGAGAUCCCUUCUGGAAUGUGCCUUUUAACCAGCAAAAGGGUAUUUUAAUCAGUUAAUUGUCUUUACUUUCAGCAAAGGUCAACGAUCUGGUCUCUUCCACUUACAAGACGAUAAAAACGAAGCUGCCGUCAACGUUGCGAAGCAUGUCCUUAUACCUGUCCAACAAAGACACAGAGUUCAUUUUGUUUAAGCCAGUGAGGAAUAACAUUCAGCAAAUGUUCCAGAAACUCCAUGCUUUGUUAAAAGAAGAAUUUAGUAAUGAAGAUCUCCAGAUCAUAGCUUGUCCUUCAAUGGAACAGGUGAACUUACUUCUGUCGAUGUCCAAGUAGCCCAAGAGUGGGGCUGCUUCAAGUAAACUUCAGCUGAAGGACAAGCAGGGAAGGGGAUGCCAAGGGCUGUGGUCGGAGUAAGCGAAGGAUCCCACUGUGCAGCCCAGUCUGCAUCAAAACUCUCUAGGCUGCUUGACUCUGAUUGAGUGGUGGAGGGGGAGAAAUCAGUUCUGUAGCUUCCUUGAAGGUCUUGCUAUUUGAUGAGGAGAGAGAAAUAACAAUGCAAAAAACCCGUUGCUGGUCAUUCUUGUGCGAGCUCAGUUACUGCCUUUGCCAGUCACAGAGAUCUUCCAGGUUGGGAUUCUGCUUUUUUUUUCAUUUGUUUGUGUAAAGGAAAACAAGAAAG